AACGAUUACAUUUACAUUACGACGAUAAUAAGGGUGGUUGUGGGUCUGGUCUGGAUGUUUUCCAAGCAUAUUGGGAUUUGGCAGUUCGGCAGUCCGUUUAGUUAGUUGGUAGUGCGCGAAGGAAAAGGAACCGAAAACACACAGAAAUAAACAGCGGAGGAAAGCAAGUGUUGUCGAACAGGAAAAAAUUAGGUGUUGUUCUUAUCAAAUAUUGAAAAAAAAAACUGCAAUAAAAUAUUGUAUCAAGAGAAAAUACUUUUGUGUGUGUGUAGGUGUAAAUAAAAUUGAGAAAAAAGGAGCAUCCUAUUGGUUCCUGGAAGAAAACUAAUCCCAGUUCACAAUAAUUUUCUUAUUGGACUUUUUUUACACUUGCCCCUUUUUGGUUCCUGCUGGACUUUCUCAACUACCUCUGCCAAUGUAUGUGUGUAUGUAUAAGCAAAAAGACGAAAAAGAAGAACAAGCAUAGAAAAUAGUGAACCCAAAAUAGCCGCAAAAAAAAAAGAAACCAAAACCGCGUAACGCCAAAACUAGAAAACCACCCCCGAACCAAAAAAAAAAUCGAAAAAAACCGAAAUCACAAACGUUUCAAUGCAACUCCGCCUGCUCCUACUCCUUCACGUCCACCCUCUCGUUUCAUUGCAUUCAACUUCUGGAAACUUUUCGUCUGAAUGAUUAUCGUGUUGUUGUUAUUCUUCAAAUCCAUUUGCCUGUACUGUCAACGUCUGGUCCUGCACAUUCAUGACCGCUGGAUAAAUCCCAAAAACGUACGCCUCAUCAAAGAAGCCGCCGAAGCCAAAGGUUCCAAAUUCCUGUUGGACGACUAUCGUCAGACGCGCAAAGGCAAGCGACGGCGUCACGCCAGCGGUUCGAGCAAUAACUCCAGCAGCCACUUGUCACAGACACCCUCCACGUCCGCCUCCACGGUGCUAAGUUCGUUGGGGUCACGAGCUGAGAAUUGUCGUUUUUGUGCCAACACACCACAGGGCUAUUGUCGUCAUCACUUCCAUUUGCAGGAGCUGCAGGUACACAAACGCCAACAACAACAAUCGAUUUGGUGUCCUCUCGGUGGUGGUGGCCUGCUCACACGCAAUGUGGAGUACAAGCAAUUGAGGAAAAUCAAAAGGGAACUGAAAAGGACACUACAUCCGCAGCAACAGCAGCCACAUCAUCAUCAGCAGCCUAAUAUUCCAAGAUCCUCAAAUAUCUACCACUCAAUACCCCUGGACCCGGAGGACUCUGUCUAUGAGCACUCGGAGAGUCUAACCAAUUCUUCCUCACUACAGGAUUCGGGUUAUCAAAGUAUAGCCCUGACAAAUCAAAAUUCUUCACCCUCAACACCCCAACAACAAUUGUAUCAGGAAGUUGAGGAGAAGGAGCCGAGAGAAGAAGCUCUCCAAUUACCUGAAAUCUCCUCACAAUCAUCAAAAGAAUUUUUAGAUUUACCCACACCCAGCGAAUCCUUGGUGGAGACCACAUAUUCAUUUGGCUCGUGCCCGGAAACACCACGAACCCCAUCACCCACUCCCACGCUGCCAAGGGUAACAUCCAAUCAGAGUUUUGUGUCCUGCACCAGUUCAACACUUUCCACAAGCUAUUUGUGAGGGAAGCCAGAAGAAGGAGAGAGGUUGGCCAGCAGACAAAGAGUGGAACACAAAAGCUCUGCCAAAUCGAGGACAACGGCCUCCAUAUGGUCACCAACAAGCACCGAAGGAUACUUGAGGUAAAGAGUCUAACAACAGCAACAACAAUAGGGGGAGAAUAGACAACCAACCAGCCAGCCAGCCAGCUGGAGUGACAACAAACCUAGAUUUUCAAU